rnacentral:rRNA from 1 species
CACGUAGGGGGCAAGCGUUGUCCGGAUUUAUUGGGCGUAAAGAGCUCGUAGGCGGUUCGGUAAGUCGGGUGUGAAACCUCCAGGCUCAACCUGGAGAUGCCACUCGAUACUGCUGUGACUCGAGUCCGGUAGGGGAGCGUGGAAUUCCUGGUGUAGCGGUGAAAUGCGCAGAUAUCAGGAGGAACACCAGCGGCGAAGGCGGCGCUCUGGGCCGGAACUGACGCUGAGGAGCGAAAGCGUGGGUAGCAAACAGG